GACGAACGCUGGCGGCGUGCCUAAUACAUGCAAGUUGAGCGAUGAAGAUUGGUGCUUGCACCAAUUUGAAGAGCAGCGAACGGGUGAGUAACGCGUGGGGAAUCUGCCUUUGAGCGGGGGACAACAUUUGGAAACGAAUGCUAAUACCGCAUAACAACUUUAAACAUAAGUUUUAAGUUUGAAAGAUGCAAUUGCAUCACUCAAAGAUGAUCCCGCGUUGUAUUAGCUAGUUGGUGAGGUAAAGGCUCACCAAGGCGAUGAUACAUAGCCGACCUGAGAGGGUGAUAGGCCACAUUGGGAAUGAGACACGGCCCAAACUCCUACGGGAGGCAGCAGUAGGGAAUCUUCGGCAAUGGACGAAAGUCUGACCGAGCAACGCCGCGUGAGUGAAGAAGGUUUUCGGAUCGUAAAACUCUGUUGGUAGAGAAGAACGUUGGUGAGAGUGGAAAGCUCAUCAAGUGACGGUAACUACCCAGAAAGGGACGGCUAACUACGUG
rnacentral:rRNA from 1 species